rnacentral:rRNA from 1 species
CUCAAGCGAUGGGGUGACGCAGGAAGGUAGUGGGGCCAGUGAGUGGUAGUACUGGUGUAAGCCUGUAGGGCGAGUGGUAGGCAAAUCCGCCAUUCAUUGAAGCCUGAGAGGUGAUGCGUAGCCGUUGAGGCGAAUUCCAUGAUCCUAUGCUGCCGAGAAAAGCCUCUAGCGAGUGGUGUCAUGGCCCGUACCCCAAACCGACACAGGUGAUCAGGUAGAGAAUACUAAGGCGAUCGAGAUAACUGUGGUUAAGGAACUCGGCAAAUUACCCCCGUAACUUCGGGAGAAGGGGGACCAUGGCUGGUGACGGGCUUUACGCCUUGAGCUGGUUGUGGUCGCAGAGACCAGAGAGAAGCGACUGUUUACUAAAAACACAGGUCCGUGCGAAGUCGUAAGACGAUGUAUACGGACUGACGCCUGCCCGAUGCUGGAAGGUUAAGAGGACCGGUUAGCACUUCGGUGCGAAGCUGAGAAUUUAAGCCCCAGUAAACGGCGGUGGUAACUAUAACCAUCCUAAGGUAGCGAAAUUCCUUGUCGGGUAAGUUCCGACCUGCACGAAUGGCGUAACGACUUCUCUGCUGUCUCAACCACAGGCUCGGCGAAAUUGCAUUACGAGUAAAGAUGCUCGUUACGCGCGGCAGGACGAAAAGACCCCGGGACCUUCACUUUAGCUUGGUAUUGGUGUUCGGUUCGGUUUGUGUAGGAUAGGUGGGAGACUGUGAAGCGGUGGCGCUAGUUGUCGUGGAGUCGUUGUUGAAAUACCACUCUGAUCGUAUUGAACUUCUAACCUCGGACCAUGAUCUGGUUCAGGGACAGUGCCUGGUGGGUAGUUUAACUGGGGCGGUUGCCUCCUAAAAUGUAACGGAGGCGCCCAAAGGUUCCCUCAGCCUGGUUGGCAAUCAGGUGUUGAGUGCAAGUGCACAAGGGAGCUUGACUGUGAGACUGACAGGUCGAGCAGGGACGAAAGUCGGGACUAGUGAUCCGGCACCGGCAAGUGGAAGCGGUGUCGCUCAACGGAUAAAAGGUACCCCGGGGAUAACAGGCUGAUCUUCCCCAAGAGUCCAUAUCGACGGGAUGGUUUGGCACCUCGAUGUCGGCUCGUCGCAUCCUGGGGCUGGAGUAGGUCCCAAGGGUUGGGCUGUUCGCCCAUUAAAGCGGCACGCGAGCUGGGUUUAGAACGUCGUGAGACAGUUCGGUCUCUAUCCGCCGCGCGCGUAAGAAACUUGAGGAAGGCUGUCCCUAGUACGAGAGGACCGGGACGGACGAACCUCUGGUGUGCCAGUUGUUCCGCCAGGGGCAUUGCUGGUUGGCUACGUUCGGAAGGGAUAACCGCUGAAAGCAUCUAAGCGGGAAGCCUGUUCCAAGAUGAGGUUUCUUUCCACCUUUUGGGGUGGGUAAGGCUCCCGGCAGACUACCGGGUUGAUAGGCCAGAAUUGGAAGCCCAGUAAUGGGUGUUGAGGUGACUGGUACUAAUAGGCCGAGAGCUUACC